rnacentral:lncRNA from 1 species
GGCCUCUGCUGGGGUGUGCAACAGGUCCUGCAACUGCGUGUGCCGCCCCGCGCCGCGCCGUUGGAGGCACGGGUCUCGCGACGCCGCGCAACGGCGGUCCUGCAGCGCUGUGCGUUGGAGGUCCUACGAGAGGUCCUGCAGUGGGGUCCUGCAAUGGCGUGCGCAGCGUCGCGCGGUAGAGUCCUACAAAGGGGCCUGCCGUGCUGCGCAGCCGUGGCCCUGCAAAGGGGGCCGCAGUGCUGCGCAACUCCGUUUGCGCUGUUUUGCGAUGGACUCGCAACGGGGUCGGCGAGGGGUGCGCAGUGGGGUCUGGAAUGGGAUUGCGGCGGCGGUCUCAAACAUUUUGCAAUGAAUUUGCAGCGGGGUGCCGCAGUGAGGGUCUGCAACGCCCACGAGAGCUGCCCGUGCUUUGGGCCCUGGUAGGAGCGCAGCUUCCACCAACCCACCCCAGGUGAGGCACAAAGUGCUGCCGCACGGCCGGGCCCCUGCCAGGCCCUGGAGCUUCAACCCGUGCCUUAAGGGUCUCCCGUAUCGCCAGGGCCAGGCAGAGCUCCGCUGCUCAAAGGGGCAGGGCGGGAAGGCUUCGUGCACAUCCCGGCCUCAAUCGCUCCAGACGCAGAGAGGCCGCCGGUCGCAACCCCUCCCCCAGCCCCGGCGCCAGGUGCUGUGCUCAACCUUCUGCACCGCUCCAGCUGUGAGCCUAACUGCUGUGAGCCUGUCCGUACGCUUCCCACGUCGGCACCAGCCAUGCCCCAGAACUGCUCCCGAGCAUUAUUACAAGGCACGUCCCCUCCUGAUAACAAUCUGAUAACCUUAUGGAAAUAAUCACUGUGCUGGCACAGCUGUCGUGCCUGGGAAAACUCGUAUUUGCAUAAGCAAAAGGGAUAACUGGACACCUCCGUGCCUGUUUGUCAAAUAAAUUGCCGAUUUCGAUGUGCAAACAUACAUUUCUAUCGUUUCUAUCCACGUUGGAAAGUUUGCCCAGCAGGAAAACCACUCGUCGAGGUGGCAGGAAAACCACGCACGGCCACAGCAGCACCACGUGUGGGUGCCGUCGGGCAGCAAUAACACGCUCACGCCACAGGUGGCCUCACAGCACGCCCUGGCAGGGGCUGGCAGAGCUCACGGCACAUGCACUGCCUGCUGCUUGUGUGUGAUACCGCGAAAAGAUGCCCACCGCGCCUGCAAACAGCACAGACGCGCCUGCUCCGUGCCCCACCAGCAGCCGUCCCAUAGGGCAGCCGUGCUGGUAGCAGCCACCAUGUCAGCCCAUGAUUGAUCCAAGACAGACUCUUGAAAAUGAGCCACUGGCAUUGCAGCUCACAGAGAGGCUGCAGUGCUUUUAUUUUUUUACCUUUGUGCACCGGGAACAGCGCGCACUAUGGGCCGUGCGGGAAGUUGCAGUGUUCCCACUGAUGGCACUAAUGCUACCCUAUGGAAAUCUCCUUAAACCCAGCCCUAUAGGAACGGUGCACAACAAGGAAUAAUACCAAACAAAGCCGAAGUUUGGGCAGGUGUUGGCCAAAGGACUGGGAGAACGGAAGAAAGGACCUGGUUUAGGCUGGUUUUUUUCCCCUGCCAUUCCAUGGUGGCUGAAAAGCCAACUACGAGAAACCCCCUCAUCCACACAUAGAGAUGUUUUCUUCCUCUUUUUCCCUCCUCCUUUCCAUACGGCUCUAAUGCUGUUGCCUGGUAAGUGCCUCAGUGCCUCCACAACUUGUAGUUCAACCGCUGCGCAUACGUCCAUAGGAAAGCCACAGUCUCCUGAGUGUACCCAAACCAUACCAACUCUGUUCCAAAGCCGGAGCGGACAAACAAGACAAAACAUGGCUCCUUCUGAACACCACAGAUUGCUUACUGCACGUCAGCAGACUUAAACUAGAGAUAAAACUCAGCCCGCUGCGUUCACUGCGUGCACAGAAACGUGGAAGCACAUUACAGGAACAGGACAUUUUUUCCACAAGGCCUGUAGCCACAGUGCCAACAGUACUGCCUCCACCUCCUGUGCCUGUGCAGAACCCACCAGCUAUCACAGCUCUGCACACAGCAAGGGAGAAUGGCAGCUUUGGGGGAUAAUAGACAAAUAGAGCUUGAAAACGUCCUACCUUUAGCAGCUCUUGCAACGGAUGAACUUUUGCUCGAUUAUGCUCUCCUAGUGGAAAAUAAAAAUACAGUUUGUUUCUACGCCCAUGGUUGUGGAUAAACGUGAGCAGAGCUUAGCCCAGUUGUAGCUGCCCAUAUCUGCAGAUCAACAGCUCUGUAACUCUUUUGCCUUUCGGACCUCUUUCAAGAGGGAUAAUUAAGCUUGCCUGCUGCCCUGCGCAUUUUGUUGUUAGCUGUGAGCAGCCGGGACAGCUCACAGAACUCUGAUUAGUUCUGACUCAAACUCUGCACACAGGUGUUCUCAUAGGCAGAGAGGUGCUCGGGGAAGACUGAAGGUCACCCAUUCACACAGUGUAAAAGUUCAUCCGCAGUUCCCACGUGAAGGCAGAAGUCCUUGCCCUGACAGGCAACCGUACCAUUAAACUGCAAAACCCGAGGCCAAGACGGACAGCAAAGCAACGUGGGGACUAAAUCAUGGCAUUGGCUGAGCGUAAGCCUGGAGGCCACGAGCCCCAGAAAUAAACAACAGCUUCUGAGAACUGAGGCAGGGAAACUCUGACAAGCAUCUGUCUUUCUUGCAAGAGGCUCAUAUAUCCUGUGGGCUGUCAUUUCACGUCGUAUCAUACCAUAGCAGAACAACAGUCGCUUUGAAACGUACAUACCUGGAAUCCCAGCACAUUUCCAGCAGAAGAAAGUCACGUACUGCGGAGACAGAGGGCUGCGUGCUCUGACAGAAGAAUGCAGGUAGAAUCACACAUGGUAAACGAAACUGGGAGAAAACUGAAGUGAGGAAGUCUGAGCUCAAGAGAGGCGCUAAGGGUGGUGCUGCCAAAAGUCACGCUCUCUUCCAUGUCACCUGCCUGCAAAAGGUGCCAUUGCCUCCUUGUUUCAUCAGUGCGUAUUCUUCUGGUAUAACACAGAACCUCGUUCCAGGCACCUGCAAAGUUCAGGCACUGUUCAGGACAGAACUGGGAAGCUGAGAGAGCUCUGUACUGUUCCAGACACGAUGAAAACCUGGCAGGAUUCGGCCUUCCUACUUUUGGCGGGGAGAGGGAGCGUGAGAGGGGAGGUGGAGGAAAGGGACUCUUGAAAAAUAUAUUUGUGUUUCCUGUUAAACUCGACUAUUUGGGUGUUCAAAUGAGUAUAACAGGAAAUCUAAAGAGAGGUAAUGCAUUCCUUGUUGCAACUGAUGCUUGAAGGCCAGGCCUACGUGGCUUUUCAGUAGGAAUUUUACGAAGAGUAAUUUGUAGUUGGUCAGGUAAUGAAAGAAGUAAAAAUUACCUAAAACUGCUGGGAAAUCACAAAUGGUGUAUGGGUACAUAGUUAGAUGAGAGCUACUGAACUGAGUUUCUGGAAUCGUCAUUACCCAAUUUGUAGCAGUAAAUAUCACCAUGUAAAUCCCAACCUUUCCUCAUCCUUCCCAGGGGGAACCAUGAAUACUUCUUAUCUGGCCCAUAUUUAGGAAGACAGUCUUAGAAAACAGAAGAAGGAAAAGUCAUCUGGCAGUGUAGGAGCCACAGAGGCUAGCUGGUGUUCUAGUCUGAUCACAAUUGCAACCCCAUUGGUAAUUUCAGUAUAGGGCAAUAUUUCCUCUCACUGCUUUUCCUCUGCCACGUUUCGGUAACAACAAGCAGUAAUUGAGCUCACAGGGUUAGCUACUUGAUAUUAAAACAACUCUGUAAAGUUUCACACUGUCAAAAUUCAGAAUUUUGCAGCUUUGCAAGGCCCAGUGGAUGGCCUGGCCGCUGUGAACCUUAAUCCAGAUUGCAAAUGCUCUCUUUGUUCUGGCUUUUCCGCUCCUACACCCAUAACACGUUACAUCCCACAGACAGCCAGUCAGCAAGCAUUGCUUCCAGCGUUGGAAAUGGUCUGUGGAAAUGGGGGACCACCUCAACGAGGCAUCCUGCAGGAAGAGAAACACCUCCCAAAGCAAUGCGACAGUUCUCAACAAUAUGCUUCCAUGGCACUGUGUACUAAGCGGUAUGCAUCUGCAACUCGGGGCUGAAAGGAAGAGUACAUAAAGACUACAGCACUUUAAAAGGACAGGGUUGCAAAAUUAAAAGGAGGGAAACGAACAACAGCA